UGGAAGAUCUCCUUAUGAUCGGAGUCCAGCUCCAGCUACAGCUCAUCGUGGAAGAUCUCCUUAUGACCGGAGCCCAGCUUCAGCUCACCGUGGUAGAUCUCCUUAUGAUCGGAGUCCACCUCCGACUACAGCUCACCGUGGAAGAUCUCCUUAUGAUCGGAGUCCACCUCCGACUACAGCUCACCGUGGAAGAUCUCCUUAUGAUCGGAGCCGUUACCAAGAGCAUAGAAAUGGUAGUCCUAGUUAUUCUGACCGGUCACCACAAGAUCAAAAUAGGUACCAUGAUAGAAGAGAGAGGACUCCAAACUUCCAGGAG
rnacentral:lncRNA from 1 species